UUCGGAUUGCAGGCUGCAACCCGCCUGCAUGAAGUUGGAAUCGCUAGUAAUCGCGGAUCAGCAUGCCGCGGUGAAUACGUUCCCGGGCCUUGUACACACCGCCCGUCACACCAUGAGAGUCGGGAACACCCGAAGUCCGUAGCCUAACCGCAAGGGGGGCGCGGCCGAAGGUGGGUUCGAUAAUUGGGGUGAAGUCGUAACAAGGUAGC
rnacentral:rRNA from 1 species